rnacentral:rRNA from 1 species
CUACGGGCGGCACCAGUGAGGAAUAUUGCACAAUGGGGGGAACCCUGAUGCAGCAACGCCGCGUGGAGGAUGACGCAUUUCGGUGUGUAAACUCCUUUUAUAUGUCAAGAAAAUGACGGUAGCAUAUGAAUAAGCACCGGCUAACUCCGUGCCAGCAGCCGCGGUAAUACGGAGGGUGCAAGCGUUACUCGGAAUCACUGGGCGUAAAGGACGCGUAGGCGGGUUGGAAAGUCAGGUGUGAAAUCCUACAGCCUAACUGUAGAACUGCACUUGAAACUUCUAAUCUAGAGUAUGGGAGGGGGAGAUGGAAUUAGUGGUGUAGGGGUAAUAUCCGUAGAUAUCACUAGGAAUACCUAAAGCGAAGGCGAUCUCCUGGAACAUUACUGACGCUAAGGCGUGAAAGCGUGGGGAGCAAACAGGAUUAGAUACCCCGGUAGUC